rnacentral:rRNA from 1 species
GUGGCGCACGGGUGCGUAACACGUAUGUAACCUACCCAUAUCAGGCGGAUAGCCUCUCGAAAGAGAGAUUAAGCCCGCAUAAAAUCACACUAUGGCAUCAUAGAAUGAUCAAAUAUUUAUAGGAUAUGGAUGGGCAUGCGGAACAUUAGCUAGUUGGUAAGGUAACGGCUUACCAAGGGCUACGAUGUUUAGGGGAUCUGAGAGGAUGACCCCCAGGAGUGGUACUGAGACACGGACCAGACUCCUACGGGAGGCAGCAGUAAGGCCUACUUGGUCAAUGGACGGAAGUCUGAACCAGUCAUGCCGCGUGCAGGAAGACGGCCCUACGGGUUGUAAACUGCUUUUGUACCGGAAUAAAGCACAGGUCGUGAUCUGUUGCUGAAUGUACGGUAAGAAUAAGGAUCGGCUAACUCCGUGCCAGCAGCCGAGGUAAUACGGAGGAUCCGAGCGUUAUCCGGAUUCAUUGGGUUUAAAGGGUGCGUAAGCGGGCUAUUAAGUCAAGGGUGA